AACGAACGCUGGCGGCAUGCCUAACACAUGCAAGUCGAACGAGACCUUCGGGUCUAGUGGCGCACGGGUGCGUAACGCGUGGGAACCUGCCCUUAGGUUCGGAAUAACUCCCCGAAAGGGGUGCUAAUACCGGAUAAUGUCUUCGGACCAAAGAUUUAUCGCCUUUGGAUGGGCCCGCGUUGGAUUAGCUAGUUGGUAGGGUAAAAGCCUACUAAGGCGACGAUCCAUAGCUGGUCUGAGAGGAUGAUCAGCCACACUGGGACUGAGACACGGCCCAGACUCCUACGGGAGGCAGCAGUGGGGAAUAUUGGACAAUGGGCGAAAGCCUGAUCCAGCAAUGACGCGUGAGUGAUGAAGGCCUUAGGGUUGUAAAGCUAUUUUACCCGGGAUGAUAAUGACAGUACCGGGAGAAUAAGCUCCGGCUAACUCCGUG
rnacentral:rRNA from 1 species